CCUACGGGAGGCAGCAGUGGGGAAUAUUGGACAAUGGGCGCAAGCCUGAUCCAGCCAUGCCGCGUGGGUGAAGAAGGCCUUCGGGUUGUAAAGCCCUUUUGUCCGGAAAGAAAAGCUUCGGGUUAAUACCCCGGGGUCAUGACGGUACCGGAAGAAUAAGCACCGGCUAACUUCGUGCCAGCAGCCGCGGUAAUACGAAGGGUGCAAGCGUUACUCGGAAUUACUGGGCGUAAAGCGUGCGUAGGUGGUUCGUUAAGUCUGAUGUGAAAGCCCUGGGCUCAACCUGGGAAUUGCAUUGGAUACUGGCGAGCUAGAGUGCGGUAGAGGAUAGUGGAAUUCCCGGUGUAGCAGCGAAAUGCGUAGAGAUCGGGAGGAACAUCUGUGGCGAAGGCGACUAUCUGGGCCAGCACUGACACUGAGGCACGAAAGCGUGGGGAGCAAACAGGAUUAGAUACCCUGGUAGUCCACGCCCUAAACGAUGCGAACUGGAUGUUGGGUGCAACUAGGCACUCAGUAUCGAAGCUAACGCGUUAAGUUCGCCGCCUGGGGAGUACGGUCGCAAGCUGAAACUCAAAGGAUUGACGGNUGAGAGNGCGAGACGACGACGAGGGAGGAGG
rnacentral:rRNA from 1 species